AUGCACACGGUAAUGACCAGAUACAAGACAAGAAAACCAAAGAAAAACGAGCUUCUGCCCGACUUCAUUGAAAUAGAUGGCUUCCAUACAUCUCUCGAGAAUUUUCAUGCAUCUCUAAAGCCAAGAGCGGAGAUUGACAAUGAGGUCAUGACCUUAUACCUGAAGACAUUCAACUAUGAUCAGUCAGUGAAGAAGAAGAAGCCAAAAAAAAUUGUUUUCUCAGUGUUGAUGAGUUUGAAACUCAGUGCUGAGCCAGAUGUGUUUGAUCCGAAGGUGUGCGAAAAAGAAUUUAAGAAUGCUUGCUUACAAAAUCACAUUUCAAAAUCUGACCUGCUAUUCUUCAUGGUUGUACACAAAAAGCACUGGGCAGUAGUAGUUGUUAACAUCACCCAAAAGGAGUUCAAUAUCUUUGACUCCAUUAGGAACUCGGAAGACCUUUUUGAGAUGGACAGGAUCACUAAGAAUGUGGUCGCAAACAUCAAGAGUGUUGCAAUGAGGGAGCCACUUUUUAAGCACAAUCUUGAGUCUUACUCGCUAUUCACCCCACUUGAUUACCCUCAAUAA
rnacentral:rRNA from 1 species